GUUAUCAACAGAGGAAUCUCCAAUGGUCCAGGUGAGCCUGGGAUGCAGGCACCCGUGGUCUCCACGUCCGGAUACAGCUUGUAAGAUUGAUUUCUGUGUUUCUCCAACUGACUCAAGUGGACAAAGUACCAGGAUUUUCCUGCCUUAGGCAAUCUCCGUACCGCUCAUCCUUACUGUAUCCUUCUUGUCUAACGACGGUUCCAGUCAUCCUGGAUGUGAAGAUGAAUCAGCUGGUCAUCUCCUGCUUCUGUGUAAGCGCGCAUCCAGAGGCUCAGCGUUUCUGGUCCUGGGUGGUGGGAAGUGCUUCAGCAGAGCCAGGGCAGAGACUUCUGGGCAGAGUGGAUUUGUGUGUGAAAAUAGACUUCUGAGUCUCUUGGGCUGAAUGUUUGGAAUGUACUGAGGUCUUUUAGCCUAGGCCUUAGCCUGUACACUUCUCCUACCAGAGCCCUGAUCUACAGUGCAGACUCUUCUUGGUGCUUCAAGGUCCACACAGUACCAGUUGGUCUGCAGAUCUUUUUCCGGCUAAUGGCUUCAAUAUGUCCUCUGUCGUGGCAAAGUUUGGGUUUGGUUCUAGGAAUGAUAGAAAUUUUAUUGUCUUCUCUGAGCUUUCUUAGAGAUUUUAGUCCCUGCCACUAUUUGUGUUGGGCUGGGUAAAGAAGAUGUUGUCAAUAGCAAUGAGGGUUCAGCCCUCUCUUCCCCGUGUAAAAUAUUUUUAAGUGCAGAGCUGGCUGGCUGCCAGGCUGUAGUUGGGAAAACUGAAACAAAAAAACCUCUUCAGGAGCCACAAACUAGGCUCUCCCUGGUGUGAGUACAGUUUAUGCCAAAGAACAAAGUUUGUGGUCGGUGAGAUUGAAAGGUGCUUUGAAUGAAUCAGUUAAACUAGCAAAAAGCCCAGACUUCUGCGGUCACAACCUAAAGAAACAGCCUUUGGCCUCUGCCUUCCUAGCUGGUCCCAGGAGAAAUUUCCUACCUGUGCGCCUCUUAGGGAAUCUCACCCCAGGCUUGUGGCAGCCUCUGUCUGGAAAAAUCUAUUCUGGCAGAGCACAGAGCUAGCUCAGCUCCUCCCUUCUUUCCUAGACUCAGCAGAGGAGGACCCUGUUCGCUAUGGUGCCAACAACUGUGAGCAGCAGCCAAGGCAGGGGAGCCUGGGGGUGCGGAUCCUCUCCAGGAGAUCUAACAGAACUGCAAGUCUUCUCCACCAGCAGAUGGCGACUGAUAGACCACGCUAGAACAAGCCUUGCUUCAAGACCGAGGUCUGCGCAUGCUCCUUGAACACCAGGCUGCGGGCUGUUCCAGAUGUAUGCUAGAGUAAACAGCAUUGCAUUACUUCCCCGGUGUCCUCAUUUGGGACCUGAACCUCUGGUUUCUUGCUUCCAGGACAGAAGGGAGGAGCCAAGCUGACAGGAUUGCUGUGUUCUCUGCAAGAAUCAGUUGCCCAAGAUGCAGCUGUCACCUGAUUAUAAAUCUCCUAACACCUGGGGAGCAAGGCACAGGCCAUGGAUGAAGAUUUUCCCGGGUGGGGACACAAACAGGCUGAGCCUCUCCUGUUCUCCCUGGUCUAUCAACCUCACAGGCAGAGAUCAAAGAAGCUUUGAGGAGAGAAAGAGGCUGAGAGCAGAACUGCACCAGGCCAUUCAGAAAGGGUAUCUUGAAGAGAACUCCUGGAAACUCAGAANGUUUGGUUGUAAAGCAAGGCCUGGAACCAGAAAUAACCUGAGAACUUGCUGGUGUUGCAGUCUUCCAAGAGCUGCAAGAAAUAUCCGGGUACCCAGAGGUGGUAGUGAAACUACAGCACCUCGAACACAUGCACCCUGAUUGUAAUUGAUAGCUAUAAGCAUGGAAGAUUUGUCAUUCUUUAUAAAUAUGUUGUUUCAUUCAUUCUUCCA
rnacentral:sRNA from 1 species